rnacentral:rRNA from 1 species
GACGAACGCUGGCGGCGUGCUUAACACAUGCAAGUCGAACGGAAAGGCCCUGCUUUUGUGGGGUGCUCGAGUGGCGAACGGGUGAGUAACACGUGAGUAACCUGCCCUUGACUUUGGGAUAACUUCAGGAAACUGGGGCUAAUACCGGAUAGGAGCUCCUGCUGCAUGGUGGGGGUUGGAAAGUUUCGGCGGUUGGGGAUGGACGCGCGGCUUAUCAGCUUGUUGGUGGGGUAGUGGCUUACCAAGGCUUUGACGGGUAGCCGGCCUGAGAGGGUGACCGGCCACAUUGGGACUGAGAUACGGACCAGAGUCCUACGGGAGGCAGCAGUGGGGAAUAUUGCACAAUGGGCGGAAGCCUGAUGCAGCAACGCCGCGUGCGGGAUGACGGCCUUCGGGUUGUAAACCGCUUUCGCCUGUGACGAAGCGUGAGUGACGGUAAUGGGUAAAGAAGCACCGGCUAACUACGUG